rnacentral:lncRNA from 1 species
AAGAUUUAAGUUUGUGCAGAUGUAGAAAGUUAUAAAGUUUCGAACAAGCCUGUGAAAGAAGAAAAGCACGCAUGCAGGUGGGUCUAAUUCCAGGGGUUGGAGAUUUCAGAAGCUUUUCAAUUCUUAGCUACACUUCAGGAGACUAGGGAUCCUGAUUUUUUCUGUUGUGUAUGGCUCAUAUAAUCAGUAAGUGGAGUGAUGUUGCGUAAGACACAAUGACAAUUCUGUAAAAAAUACAUAAAAACAUUAAAAAAGAAUUACGUCCCUGUAUACCAAGAAAACAUCUUACAUUCACCAUAUACCCUAUUCAAUUAUUAGAUUAAUAAAGAACUCUAGCCUCUUUGUUUCUGAUAACAUAGGCACAUUAUCAAGUUUCAUUAGUUCUUAUUUUAUCUGUUUCCUUUCAUUUUCUUUAUUUACAUUACUCGUCAAUAUUUUUUACUAGCUAUAUGAAUUUUUCUUUUAUAAACACGAAGUUGUGUUAAUUUGUGUACAUAUUGCAACAUUCAGGUUAAAGGAUAUACUGACUCAUCACAUGAAUGGUUAUAUAAAGACUAAUUGAGUAAUAG